GCCGAGUGGGAGUGAAUGGUUGAGCACGAAAUCAGUUGGGAAAACUUGAAUGCACUUGAUUUCUCCUCUUGAAAGCUCUAUCUCCCUUGAACCUCUUUUUCUUUCUUCUCUCUUGAAUGAUCUUGUGUUGGGUUAGUGAGAAGUUGUUUGAAGGCACUUAAAAGCUCCCUUUUAUAGCCCAAAAAGCAAUAGAUCCAUUAGACACAAAAAUAUGACCGUUUGAAAUUCAAAUUUACCUGAAAAAGUGUGUCAGUCGCAUCUCAGGCGCUCCGGAGAC
rnacentral:lncRNA from 1 species